rnacentral:rRNA from 1 species
GACAGAGGGUGCAAACGUUGUUCGGAAUUACUGGGCGUAAAGAGCGUGUAGGCGGCUCGAUAAGUCUGCUGUGAAAGUCCAGGGCUCAACCCUGGAAGGCCGGUGGAAACUGUCGGGCUAGAGUCCGGAAGAGGCGAGUGGAAUUCCCGGUGUAGCGGUGAAAUGCGCAGAUAUCGGGAGGAACACCAAUGGCGAAGGCAGCUCGCUGGGACGGUACUGACGCUGAGACGCGAAAGCGUGGGGAGCAAACAGG